rnacentral:rRNA from 1 species
UACAGAGGUCUCAAGCGUUGUUCGGAUUUAUUGGGCGUAAAGGGCGCGUAGGCGGCGGGGUAAGUCGGGUGUGAAAUCUCAGGGCUCAACCCUGAAACUGCACUUGAUACUGCUCUGCUUGAGGGCUGGAGAGGAGACUGGAAUUCACGGUGUAGCAGUGAAAUGCGUAGAUAUCGUGAGGAAGACCAGUGGCGAAGGCGGGUCUCUGGACAGUUCCUGACGCUGAGGCGCGAAGGCCAGGGGAGCAAACGGG